rfam:Clostridium difficile 630 complete genome
ACACCUUUCUAAGCGCCAGAACUUAGUUAUAGACAUAAUUAUUGAGUAAUAUAGGAACUAAGUUGACGAGGUCAGAGUUAAUCGAAUUGUCGGCGGAUGCUCUGCGGUGUGUUUACCAUCGAAAGACUUCUUUAAAUAAUAGGAGCAAUCCUAUGGACAAAGGGAAGCCAAAGUAAACUU